ensembl:lncRNA
GCCGGCUCAUGGGUCUGGUUCGUUGCUUCCCAUACAGCCAGUAGGCCUGAACAUGCCUCAAAUUCUCCCUGAAGCAACACAAAACACACAUGAUCAUGCCAGCAAGAGAAGGAAAGGCAAUUGUACCCCACUGCAGCUGCUCACUGCUCCUGCCACAUUCCACAGGGACACCCGGGGAGCUUCAUCCCAGAGGUGUGCAGCUGGAUUCGUCCCAGACCUCACACAUCAGUAAUGGGCUUUCUCACAUCUGCUACCCAUAUCUGGACUAUUUGAGCCCCCAGACAGCUUCAAAAGUUAUAACGGUUGAACUCCACAGAUGAGAAAAUAGAAAGUGAAAAGAGAAGAGAGAACAAGUCAAAACAAUCAAUUCAAAGCAAGCUGCUUUUGAAAAGAUCAACAUUAAAUGUCUUCAGAAGACUUCAUCUCAAAGUUUUGACACAGGCAAACUCUAAAAUCCCGGAAUAUACAGCAGAAAAGAAGUCAGCAGCCUUUGUCAACAAGCAGCACAUAAAUGGGAAUUAUUUCAGUGGCAUCAAAAUUUUAACCUCUGUGACUGUGCCUUUCUAGGGAUAAUUUGAGUUGCUCACGGACCGGCACUUUUUUGUGUGCUCAUGCAAGGCCUCCUGUUCUUCCAGUUUCCCUUAUCAUGUCGGCUGCCACCAACCUUUCUGAUUGUAUCCUGAAGGAAUUUCUCAAUGCACUCUGAGUGUUUCACAUGGCUUUCUAUUGUUUUUUAUUUAGCAAUAGAGAAGAGUUUUGUUGCACAAGACUUCUCUAUUGAUGUGUAAACAUUGAUAGCUGCUGAAAAAACAGUGCCUGGUCUGGCACAGGGAAAGUCCUUUCAGUCUGGCUGUAUAUCACAAAUAAGAGGAUGUUCACUGGGCAGAUUUAGCUGAUGUUUUAUUUUCCUCUAAAUAUCCUCCUAAUAACAGCACCUUUUAAGUGACUUCAGAAAGAAAUAAUGCUCAGUGCAAAGAGCCAAGGAUAAUAAAGUUGUGAGAAACGUGUUUGUACAGCACAAUGAAAUCUCUGCCGGAUUACAAACUAAGUGAUUCCCUAGAAACACCUACAAUAAACAACGUUGGGUGUGAAUAGCUCUUUCUAUAACACCCAGCAGUCUGCAGAAUUAAGAAGGUAUCACUGUGUAGCCCAUAUUUAAAUAUACAUAUAUGGAGUGAGAAAGUUUACAAAAGAAAUGAGUGAUUUUAUGAGGAAAUGAUUGCAAACACAAAAGACAGAGACCUACAGACACUUAAAACAUGGUAUCCUAUAGGGUAACCAAUACACUGACAUGGUAUCAGAAAAAGAAGUUAGACAUUAUGAGUUUAGCAUAUGCCCAAAAUAUAUGAGGGGGAAAAUGGGUGUUUGAUACAUAGUGCAAAAAAGUUCUGAACAAUGCACUCUGUGCUGCAUUUCUCUGCAAGAUAGCAGCUACUUCAAUGAAGCUUUCCAAAAAUGUUGAAACAGGUACAGCUUUUACUGCACUAUUUAAUGCUGAGAGAAUCAUUUGUGGCUGUGGCAUGUGAAAUAACUGGAAUAUUUGUGCCACUGAAACAUGGUCAGUGUUCUGCUACUAAAAACAGUUAUAUUUUAUUAGAAACUCGCUGGUAAUAGAAUGAUCAGUGAGCUGUGAACGCGUGUGUAAAUAAUGAACUCAGAGUGCACAGCACUUCCAAUUUCAGGAAAUAAAUCAUAUUCUGAGUUAUUUAAUUAAAUGGAAGUAUGUACGAACCCUCUGUCUGUAAAGUAAUUUCAUUUGGUAUUUGAGAAAGUUUUCACAACAGUAAUUAUUUUAGAUACGCAGAAUACGUACUCUGAGAAAUGUGGGUUAUUUGGUGAAGAAAACCCCCACAGAAAAUUGCAUACUUUGAAGACUAUGCUUCUUACAAAAAAAUAACACAAUAAAAUCUGGGGAAAAAAAAAGACCACUCGAGGAAUGUGGGGCCAUUCUGAAAGUGAGGGGAGCAGCCCCUCUACCAGCUCUGCCCCCAGGGCACGCAGCACCUGCUACCCCUCAGUGGUGGCGUCCACCCGCUCAAUCUCAGCCUGGAGCCCAGCAAGGGCAGAGCCU